CUACAUCUAGGAUCCGACUUGUAUCAUUGAUAAUAAUAGGGACGGAACCGCUAUGGCAAGGCAAAGUUUGAUUCAGAGGGAAAAAAAAGGCACAAAUUGGAACAAAAAUAUCAUUUGAUUCGUCGAUCCUCAAAAAAAGAAAUAAACAAAGCUCCAUCGUUGAGCGAUAAAUGGAAAAUUCAUGGAAAGUUACAAUCCUCACCGCGUAAUAGUGCACCUACCCGUCUUCAUCGACGUUGUUUUUUGACCGGAAGGCCGAGAGCUAACUAUCGAGACUUUGGACUAUCCGGACACAUACUUCGUGAAAUGGUUCAUGCGUGUUUGUUGCCGGGGCAACAAGAUCAAUUGGUAAGGAUUAAAAUAUCCUUCAUUUUUCUUUUUUCGAUUGGAUUUCUAUGAUCUAUCAUCAUAGAGGCGGCCCUUUACCAUUCUGUACAAAUAGGCUAUUCUAUUUGUACGGGUAUGGAAAAGGGGCGCAUUCAAUCCUUGUUUGUUUCUUAGUUCUUCCCAGUCCUUCUCUUCAUCGCGGGUAGAGCAGUUUGGUAGCUCGCAAGGCUCAUAACCUUGAGGUCACGGGUUCAAAUCCCGUCUCCGCAACAUUUUUUAUUUUUUUGACAAAAAAAUGAGGUUUGAUUCUGUUAACUAUUAAUUAGCACUUUUCUCUUUUUUUUUUUUUUUUUUUCUUGGGUGGAAAGAUAGAACCGCUAUACUAUCCGGUCAACUAUAAGAAGUCGUUUAUCCUAUUAACUAAGAAGUCGUUAUCCUAUUAACUAAGAAGUCUUAUCCUAAUUAACUACAUUACUUUACCUUGGCGGAUAGCGGGAAUCGAACCCGCGUCUUCUCCUUGGCAAAGAGAAAUUUUANNNNNUUAAUUAAUUAANNNNNAUUUAUUAAUCUACUAGAUAGUUUAUAUUAUUUAUAUUAAAUUUGUAUUAAUUACAAAAACUUUAAAGUCAAUUUUCUAAUUACUAAAUUCAAAGGAUAAUAUGGUAAAAAAAGAAUUUUAGUGUCCCUUUUUAAAAACUUAGGAGUUUUGCAAUCAUUUCCUCAAACUUUAGGGUGUAGGUGUCCUUUUUCUGAAAUUAAAAUCUAAAGAAACACUAGAGGAACCAACCUUAGCUACUAUAGUUCAAAUACCCCCUAGUGUCCGAUAAUACAAGAAAACACAAUUCUAACAAUAAAAUGCAAACAAACAACCAAAAAAAAAAUCCACAAAAUGCAACAAAAAACCAACCUUACGAUUCACUAGAAAAUCUCUCAAUAAGCCCUUGACCUAGGCCAUCAGAACUUCGCCUGAGGUCAUCGGAACCUCAAUGUACCACUAUUAAAGCCCUCAACAGCUUCAAUGUAGUCAUACUAUUCCAAUCCAAAUACUGACACAAUCCCGAUCUGGACAUUGAAACAACACCGUCUAUGUAGACCACCGUACGAGCAGUAUAAAAUCUUACAAAACAACAAAACAUAAAAACGUACAAUAACAGAAGCAAAUACAAAAAUAAAACAAAAGAAAUAUAGAAGAGAAAUAGAAAAUAAGAAAAAAGAAAAGACCUACUGGUUCCCUCCCCGGCCUAAACUCCUUUAGCAUAAUUUUUGCUAUAGUGAUGGGCAAUUGGCGACCUGGUGGCGGGAGGCAGCAGUGGAGAGGUGUGGUUGGUUCGCGGCGCGGCUACGGUGGCUGGAAACAAAGAGUUGAAAAAUAGAUUUGAAAGUUUGGAGGUUUGAAAAUGUGAUGGCUGUGUAAUUCAGGCAGGUUGAUUGAUCAAAGCCGGUGAAUUUUAGCCUGUGGCAGAAAGGGUCUUAGCACAGAGAGAGAGAGAGUUUUUGAUUUACCUCUAGUUAUCUCUGGAUAUCAUUUUUAACCAAUAAUGAUUGUGACCCACCAAUUAAGUUUUGAAUCUCAAAUUUUAUAUGUAGUUCAUGUAUUGGAUAAUAAAUUUUAUAAUUGAUAAAAUAAAUAUUUUACUAUCUACUAGAUAAAUAUCACAUCCAUUAGAACUCAAGUUGGGAUCCCCUUAGCAUUACUCUUUUAUAAUGCCUCCAUGUGAAGGGCGUAAAGUGAUAAAGGUACUGUGGGAAGUAGCAUGGGCCUAAUCUAGAUAAAUUUAACUCUAAUAAAAUAUUAGAAAAUUCAUGGGUUUAAGCCAUACUCAAAAUCUAACUAAAAAAUUGAGGAUCGUUCAAACUUUACAUAUUUGACCUAAGAUGCACUCACAAAUGAUGUAGGGUAUUUUAUCUAUCAAUUUGCAUUGAUCUUUAUUUCCUCCCAUCUUCUUUUGACUUUAUUUCACUACCAAGAAAGUCCUGCAUAACAAUAAGCCAAAAAUUCCAACAUGCUACUCUGGAGUUUAUUUAACGUUGGCCCUCUUAAGUGCUCAACUUGUUCUCUCCUAUUUACUCAGAGAUAUUAGGUGGCAUAGUGUAAAAGUGCUUGCACUUUAGACCGAGAGAUCAUAUCAUCUUGCAUUUGUAAACUUCAACUAAGAAAUUAAUUUCAAAAGAUUUUUCCUUGAUCUCCUCUAUUUGCCUAAAAAAGAAAAAAAGGAAAAUGCAGCGCAUGCAAUGAAAUAGUGGAAAAUUUGAUUAAAAUGACUUGGAAGUUUUUAAUUACAAAUGAUGGUACCCAAAGAAACUCUAGCGAUACAAGAAUGAUAAUAUUGGAAAAGUCUCACAAUCUUAUUUAUGAAAGACAAACAGUUUCAAGGCAAUUCUUCUCUUUAUCACCAUUUGUUUGAAAUUAAAGGGUCGGCAUCUACAGAAACUGAGACACUAUUUAAACUUGAUCCACUAGAAGAUGAAUUUCUUCCGAAAUCAUGUCAAUAAUGUCACCAUCCACAAAAUCAGUCUCUUCACAAUUUUGCUGCAAAAUGGAAGCUCCAAUUGAUUCUCUUAUACCCCGUAAUUCAAAUGCCACUUCUUUCAUCGUAGGUCUCUUUCUCCCAUUCAAGUUCAAGCAUCUUUUGCAAGCAUAGCAACGGUAAUAAUCUCUUCUUUCUCAGCUUCCUUAAGAACUCGAUCAUCAAGGACUUCAAACAGACGGUUCUCUUUCAUUGCUUGGAUAAAAUAUCUUGCUAAACUCUUAUCUUCUUCAGCGUCAGUUGAACGGAUAGGUUUCUGUCCAGUUAGAAGCUCAACAAGAACUACACCAAAACUAAUAACAUCACUUUUUUCUGUAAAAUAACUUGACCGAAAGUAUUCUGGAUCUACAUAUCCAAAAGUUCCUUGUACUUGAGUGGUCAAGUGAGUUUGAUCAAUUGUUAUAGAUCUAGAAGCCCAAAAUUUGAAACUUUGGCUUGAUAUUUAUCGUCCAAAAGUAUGUUUGCAGACUUGAUGCCUCGAUGAUAAAUAGGAAUAGAUGCAGCUGAAUGCAGAUAAGAUAGAGCACCUGAAACUUCAAAAGCAAUGGAUAAACACAUUUCCCAUGUGAUUGGAAACUCCUCGGAUCGAUAGUGUAUGUAUUGAUUGAGACUUCCAUUUGGAAUAAAUUCAUACACCAAAGAGGAACUUCUGUCUCCAAGCAACAUCCCAACAACUUAACAACAUUUCUGGGGUCAAUUUGAGAUAAAAUUACUACCUCAUUGAUGAAUUGCUCGAGAUUACUCUCAUCCAAUAUUUUAGCUUUUUUAACCGCCACAAUUCGUCCAUCUACUAACAUUCCUUUGUAUACAAUACCUUUGGCCUCCUUGACCAAGGAUUCGAUUGGCAUUGUAGUUGUCGGUGGCUUUCUCCAAGUCUUUUGAAGUAAAUAACUUCAUUUUCUCAAUAUUACCUUCAUUGGAAGACAAUUCUUGUUGUAAUAAUAAACCACCAUUUUUUUUAAAGAACUUAUGCUUGAGCUUGAUUUCCCUUCUUUUUGUAAACUUGUACAACCACCAUAUUCCAAUGAGUAGAAAGAAUAACGCAAGCCCACCACCGCAACCUGCGGCUCUCGAGGACAAUAAUGAAAGAUAUCAUGAUAGGAAAGAUAUCAUCAAUCUAAAUGAACGUAUGAACACUUAGUAUUUUCAUUUGAAAUAUAUGUUGAAAAAUAUUAUUAAUUUAUUAUGAUGUAAAAUAAACGAUCGCCAUGCAUACCUAUAAUAAUGAAUUUAACCCGAGAUUUGUUAGAUCUGUUAGAUUUGUUGAAAAUUUUAAUGCAACGAUACGAGAGACGAUUACAACCCUCGGGACAAUUGGAGCAACUGUAGCGCUUGAGAUAUUACAGAUCAAGUCACAUGCCCGGAAAAUAACAAAUAAAAAUAAAUCAAAGGGAAGAUCAAACUAAAUCAUGGCUACAACUAAAUAAAACUCCACCAUUUUUAGUUCUCUAAUUCUCUGUUUACAAAGAUAGUUACAGUAAUGGAAAACUUUACUCAUUUACAAGUAAUUCGAUAGAUAUUUUAAAAAUCAAUAAUUUCAAUCAUCUAUUGGAUGAUAAAUUUUACAAUCUUUUCUGAUCAUCUUACCAUCCAACGGAGGACUGUUUACAUCAUUUUGACAUUUAACUCUAGUAAAACUCUAGGGUGCUCCAAUAGCAUUUUCCGUUUCUCAUCCACACUUAUUGCUAAUGUUCAUACGGAAAUAGCAUCUAAAUGCUCCUGGAGCACCAAGUCUUGUCGUUCGGAUAUUUUCUUUGAAAAAAAAAAAAAAUUCUCUUUAACACAUAAUCCAAUAAGUACCUGAGCAGUAUGCUUUCUCUAGGUUGUAGCCAGCAGAGCAAAGACAUAAAUGGCCUGAGCUUAAUUGUGUAAGCAACCUGUUUUUAUCCGAAUUACAAAAAAUAGAAUAUGAGUUAUAUUCUUCAAAACAACUGCUAUCUUUUCUCCCCACUUCAACACUGCAGGAACUUCUCGUUGAUCUUCCAAAUCAUGAGGAUCUUCAAGGUACUUGCUGUUGACCUAAUCUUCAUCAACCAGGUGUUGGGAAAAUAUGCUCUUUAAAAGCAUAUGUGUUUAUUUAAUUGUAAUAAACAAUUUUUCUGAUUAAUAAAAUAAAUGAGGUAUUUUAUUCAAAUAUCUUAAUUGCAUUAAUAUUUGUAUUAAAGUCCAUUUAAUCAUAUUAUAUGUAUUUAUGUGAUCACCAUGUGGAUUCACAGAAGACAUAAAUACAAGUUAUCUUAUGAUUAAAUAAAUUUAGUUCGCAGUUGAUAAAUAAAGUUGGGCACUUUAUUUAGGUAUAGACUGUAAUAAUUCAUUGAAUGAUUUGUCUUAAUCAUGUAUGAAUUUAUUGAUGUAGUACGACUACAUUGAACAGGAUCACAUAUGAGAUUUAAUUAACUUUGUAACAACUGUCAGACUUAUUAAAUCUCAUAGGCGUUGAUUUUACUGUAAUCUUAAUCUUGAGUUAAUUAUGAUUUCAUGAUUGUAAUUGUUAUUCCAUUUGAGUUACCAAUGGGCACGACACAUCCUUGUGGUCAAGAUUACCCGGUAUCUUGGUGGGAGCAAUUAUGAGUAUUGGAGUUAUGGAUUAAUAAUAUAGAAUUUGUACAACACAUCUCUUGAUACGUUUUCGGCACUUGAUCAUAGAAUUCUCUGGCCAGAGUGUCAACAUAUUUAGUAUGUUGAAAAUGAUCAUUAGAGAAAACCAGUAAGGAUCAAGGAAUUAAGAUGUUAUUAAAUUGAUUGGACAGUUGAGAUAUCAAUUUAAUUAACGAUGUGGUACAAAGGAUUGUGCAGUAAAGAAAUCAAUGUGGCUUGGGACGAAUUAUUAUUCGAGCAUACAAUUAUGGAAGUCAGUUCCAAUCUUUUAGUGGAGUAGAUUUGGAAUUAAAUAAUUGGGCUAGUUUAAUUACAGGCCUAAUUAUUGUAGCCACUAUUGUAUGUUCCCAAAUGAUCCCCGGGUUAGCUCAUUUAAUUGACUGCACCACUACUGGACUAAUAAGCAAGAUACUAGCUAUUUGGGUCAAAAGCCUAAAUAUAUCAUUUAGUGGGAGGCCCCAUUUAAUAAGCUUAUGUGUAAGGGGCCUUAUGUUAUUUUACAAGGUGGGUCCCCUAUUAAAAAAGAAAACAACGUGAGUUUUUAUUUUGAGCAUUCUUGGAGCCUAGGGUUUUCACUAAAGGGUGAUAUAAAAGGCUUAUUUUUCCCUAAAGAAAUGGGGAAGCCACUUUAUACAGAUCAAAGAAAAAGAUUUUUCUCUCCAUUGUUGAGAGAAAAAUUUUCUCGUGCUAGUUGCUUUGGUAGUGAUAACGGCGCCCACACGUCAAGUGCAGAUCGAACCCGAGUCAUAACUGGAAGAUCAUUGGUGACAGUUCGUGAUCUAACAAGCGUGGUGGUGACGGAUCGUGAUCUAACAGGAGUGGUGGUGACGGAUCGUGAUCUGGGAGCCUAAAUCACUUCAGCGGAAAAAGCCAACUCGGAUUUUCAAGGUACGAUUUCUAGAAUACAAAUUCUUAUAUAUUAUAUGAGAGCGAUCUUCAAAAAGUUUUAUAAAAAAUUAAAAACCUAAUUUUUCCCCAACACCAGGAAAACAAACUGACAUUUCUGAGGAAUACUUUGAGAAAACAAGUAUGAUUUAUUUAGAUUGAAAAGAUGAGUAAUAUUUGGACGAAGGGGGCGUAGGAAAUCAUAGCAAGCAGGGUAGACAGUAGGAUCACAAGUACAAAUCGACAGACACCCAUCAAACACAGAUGAACCGUUCCCUUGGUGAUAUCUCAUUUUGCAGCCUAUGGCAGCGAAUUUAUUGUCAGUCGAAAAGGAGAAAGGGGGUACCUGAUAAGUUGACGCCUUUAGCAAUAUUGCUUGUUCGCUUACUACUGCUGUUUAAAAAAAUCUCAGGAACGUUGACUCUAACCGCGGCUCUUGAAUCAUUAGAGAGAAUAUCCACUAAUUCUAGCCUGUUGACGCCAGGAAGAAAAGCUUUGGGAAUGCCAGAAGGGUGAUCGCAGAUAACUUCGUAACCCCUGUCAAAGUAGCACCCUUCUCCGAUUCCGAAGGGGUAGCUGAUGCUGACAUUUCCACAUUCAGUUGGACAGGGAAAAUCUUUCUGAUGCUAUGAUCGGCCUGAGGCGCAAAACAAUAAUCUGCAGCAACACCAGACAAAGAUGCACAGCCAUUCGCCGCUUAAACUCAGUUUUCUUUAGUUCAGAAAGUGCAUGUAUUAGCUCCUAUAUUAAUUCAGAAACUUUUCUCACCGACUAGAAAGUCCUGCAUGUUAAAGCCAGAGAUUAAUUUCAGAUUGCCAAUCUUGACUUUUAAUUACUCUGGGCCCUCUCAAGUCUUCACCAAAGUCCAAAGACCAUUCUCACAUUCCAGUAUUUGGUCACAUCGUCAAGACGAUCAGUACAUCUUCAAUUUAAUAAAUUCAGAGUCAUGUAUAUGUAUGUAUCAUAUCACCAUUCUUCAACUUUAAUUUAAAAUUAAUUUCAACAGAUUUUUUUCUUUCAUCUCAUAUGACCGAUUGGUGAAAUGAUAUUGGAUUCAGUUAAGUUCAGAAUAUAAUAUUUCAUCAUUAUAUAAUUUAAUUAAGAUAUGAAACGAAGCCAUAGUUUUAUUGGAAUAAAAUAUAGAUUGAUUAGCUUCAUUUGGAUUAAACAAAAUGUAGCCUUAAAAUAUAUAUAUAUAUAUAUAUAUAUAUAUACAUAUUUUAAUCUUUGGUAAAUGUUCCUUUGGUCUAUUAUAAGGUUUGAUUGAAUUACACAAUUAGUCAUUAUAUUUUUUAAAUUAUGUAUUAUCAAUAGGCUGUUCUCUGCCUUGAUUCUCUGAUGUUGUUGUCAUUUCAUUCUCUUCUAAGGUUCUUUCAUUGCUGGAGCAUCAAGUACAUCAAACAAGCGGUUCUCUUUCAUUACUAGGAGAAAACAUCCUGCAAAACUUUUAUUUUUUCAGCAUCAAUUGAACGGAUAGGUUUCUAUCUAAUUAAAAGUUCACCCCAUUAAAAACUUAGGGAUUAAUUUUUAUCCAUUUCUCACCCCAUUUCUAAAAAAUAUUCAAAAUUCACGCCAUUUGGGGUGGGGUCCGAAACCUAUAGAGAAUUUUGCCAUCGUUAUAAAAGAACCACAAAAAAAUUAAUUAGAAAAUAAUUCAUCUUCAAGAUUUAGCUUUUAAAUAUAACAAAAUUUAACUCCGCCACGAGGUUUUGAACCUAGAAUUUAAGCUAGAAAGGUUGCAAAUUUGCUAAUGUUCUAUAGAGGAGGACUUGACAAUGAUAAUUAAAAUAGAUUAUAUUCUUAUAACAAAUUCGAAAUUUGAGUUUUUUGGAAGUUUCAAUCGGUUCAAAAAUUAAUUUUAUGUAAAAUCUGUUAAUAAAUAUUCAUUGUACGUAUAUUUUAUGCCAUUGGUGAGUUUUGUUUAAUUCCAUAGUCCUCAAUAAGUGGAAAAAAAAGAGACAAUAUUUGAUUUUCAGUAACACUACUGACCUACAUAAAAAUGAAAAUCAAAUGGGUCAUUGGGGGCGUAAUCCCCAAUGUGAUGAGGAAUAAAAAAUAAAACAAUUUUAUGAAAUAAUAGUAAAGUUUUAUAGACCUUAUACCCAGCAUCUGGCUCUCACUCAAGUCUUCAAGUUGUUAUCUUCUACACGUUCAAAAACAGUUGAACAGUAAGCUACUCUUGAAUCCUGCAAACUAAUAAGCUACUCUUGACGUUGAAUUAACGCUGGCUCUCUCUCAAGUCUUCAAGUUGUUAUCUUCUACACGUUCAAAAACAGUUGACAGUAAUUGGAUACGCAAAAGUCUUAAUUGCAAGAAAGAUAGAAGAGGUUUCCUUGCAAAUACGUACAAUAAUAUUGAAAGGGAAAGAACCAUUUGCAAAUUAGAUGGGUCAUAGCUAUAAUUGUUAACGAUUCCAUAUUUCCAUUCCGUCUUAUCUUUAAUCUAAAUGGCCUAAUUUCAAUUUUUAUUGUAGGCAAGGGGACACCAGACAAGUCGUCAAUUGGCAUGUUUGGUUUUAAGAAAUAUGAGGAGAGAAGAGGAGAAGAAAAGAGAGAGGAAAGAAAUAGGAAAAAAAGAUGAAUUCCAUGUCCAACCAAACAAUGCAAAUGAAUUUGACCAUCAUUUACACUCAUUUUUCCCUCAUUCUUUCCUUUCUAUUCCUCUCCUCUUCUACCAUUUCUCCCAACCAAACAUGGGCUUAAGGAAUGGAGUCAUUCCCUGCUUCACUAGCUUGUUGAGGUAUCUUUGGUAGAUAUUUUACGGAUGUAUUUGUUAUAGGGCUUCUCUGAUAUACCAGAAGGGGUCUGAAAAGAUAAUCAUACGGUACUGCUAGUGCUGCUCAUUUGAUAAAACUAACAAAAGUAGAGUGCGGGGCCAGGACAAAGUUUAUGAAAGUGUGGCCUGGGUAACGAAAUAAGUGAAAAAAAAAAAAAAGGUGAGACAAACGACACAGGUGUGGGUAAAUAAAUUUAUUAAAAAAAAAGUGUCAGAUUUGGGGGAAAAAAAGGGCUGAAAGUUGUUAGGUUUAUACAAUAAAUAAUAUAGAGAAAGGAAAUAACAACGCAGCUUACUGUUUCUAUUGAUAUGAUUUCAAUAUAUACACAACUAAAGCUAGUUAAUUAUAGUAAGUACACAAUUGCAGUUUAAAGUUAUGAAAGUCGUAUAUACAAAUGAUAAAAAGGUUGUACAAUUACACCGUGACUUUGAGAGUAUCUCUAAUAUGCCCCUGUAAGAUGGCGCUACCAUUUGCGACACCGAUCUUGGAACAAAGAAGACUUAUUCGUUGAUGAGAUGGAGUUUUGGUGACGGCAUCUGCUAAUUGGUCUUGAGAUGAUACAUGAGACACCCGGAGAACACCAUUUUGAAUUUUGUGAUGAACAAAGUGAAAGUCAAUGGCUAUGUGUUUCAUGCGACAAUAAUAUACAGGAUAAUUGGUGCCUACCUACAUUAUGGCGACAGAUGAAAGUUUAUUUACCCACAAAGAUAAUCUCAUGCACACUAGCAUGAGAUUAGAUACAUAAAGAAGAAUCUGAUAGUAAAGUGAAAAAUCCCGUCGAUAGAAAAAAAGUUUCGAAGCUCAGUGUUGUUCCAAGAACGUGAGCUUGCUUAAGGCCAGAGAGUGCCUUUUUAAGUUAGCAAACAUAAGUAGGAUACGUGGGAUCAAUAAAACGAGGUAGCUGAGGCAUAAAUACCUCCUUUGAUAGGUGCCCAUGUAAAAAAGCAUUGCUCACACCGAAGUUGUCGCAAAUACCAUCCUUGUAGUAAUGCCAAACACAAAGCAAACCGGAGCAAGCUUAAUUACAAGGCUGAAUGUUUCAUCAUAAUCAAUCACUUUUAAGAAAAGGGUAGCAGAGCUUGCUAUUCUCUGAUAGUCUCAAGGUACUACUGUUUCUCUAUUUUGUUUUAAUCUGUUGGAUUGUAUGUCUAUACCUGUUUCCCUAUUACAAUUGUUUUAGAGCGUGCAAUCUUUGUUUUAUGCUACUAAUAGCUAUUACUAAAAGUUGCACCCACCUCAACAUUCACUUUUAAGAAAAGAAAAAGUAAAAAAAAAAAAGGAUUGUGGCAAAUAGGGGCAUAUGUCUUCAAGGGCAACUCUUGUUUCAUCGCGCGAUACUUGUUUAUAUGAUUUAAACGGUGGAUCGUGUGUCAAUUUCCAAAUUUUACUCAUUUUUCGACUAGCCUUACAAAAGCACAGUUAUGGAAAUACAAAAGCACCAAUUUGUAAAAGAUUUAAGUUCUUAUGGAAAUAUUUACUGUGGUCUUUUUUUUUAACUCAAGCGACUUUACUUUCAAGAUUUGAAAAACCUGAGAACACAGUUAUACUCAGCGACCGAAUAUCUUGAACUAUGGUACACCAGUGAUGACCAAAAGCAAAUGUGAGUUGCUCUAAUUACAGCUGAUAAUUUCAAUUUUCUAUUGAGAAAACAAACCAUCUUCAUAUUUACGCAGAGUGGUGGAAACAUUGAAAGAUCAUUGUGAAUACUGUGGACCAUUUGAGUUCUGUAAGGUUAAUGAUCUCUUAGAUGCAAAGGUCGACGAAGUUUCGGAUGCAGAGCAUGUUGGUGGUUGAAAUUGUGGGGAAUGACAAAUGUAGAGAAAUGCAACAAUAAUGGUGGAACUUUAUUACGUAAAGUAAUGUGUUUACAACUAACUCUGUAUGUAGGAAGAAAAAUAAUAGUAAUAAGUAAACUAUAGAAAAUUUGUGUGCUUCAAGGCACAUUACAAAUGUCGCUUUCCUUAAGACGUUAUUUGCCCCCACCAAUUGAGUGAUGCACAUGGGUUAAGCAAAUACGCCUCCAGGAUACAAUGAAGCACUUGUUUGUUUGCUUGCGUUGUGCAUCGACGAAAGCAAACCAGAAUACUCUUGAAUGUUGCAAGCCUGCCAAGAAACAAUAUAUUGUUCUUGCAGAAAACAAUAUAUUGGAUUUUUAAUGCACAAAAGAAAUGGGUGUUUUUUGUUGAAAUUCGUACUAGAAAGGAAUGCUAAGAAAAGAGUGGUGUAGGAUCAUUAAUUUCAUGUCUAAAUGGCUUAAACAUGACCCCUAUUUAUAGAUAUACUUGUGCCCCUUCAUUUGGGUUGUCAUCUUUCAUGAUACCCCUUUCUUCAUGGCCAUUGGAUCUAGAUUUAAUUUUAAUUAAUGGUCCAAAUUGAACCAUCACCAUUUCAAAUGAAAUGUCACCAUGAAAUGAUGCAUCUCUAAGUGAAAUGUUACCAUGAAAAGUUAUAUCAUUUAGUAAAAAGAUACCUUUUUCUAUAAGACACAAUUAAAUUGACAUGUCCUUACAACAAAACAUCAUUUAAUUAGACAUGUCUUUAGUGAAAGGUAUCUUUUCUAUAAGGCACAAUUAAUAGGACAUAUCUUUACCAUAAGACACCAUUUAUUUUGAAAAUUUUCCAACAAUCCCCCACCAUUUUCAAAAUAAAUGAAUUUUAAAAAAUUAUCUUGCACAGGCUUGGAAAACUUAUGCAUAGAUGAAGGUGUCUUUUGGACUUGAACCUUCACUUAGUGACAAUACAUGAAGGUUAAUCAAGGUGGCAUGGUAGAAAAGCUUUGAACCAGCGACCUUAAUCGACUAACCGGAUAUAUCUCACACAUAAGUUUUCAAAUUCUCAAGUAUUCUUUAGCCGACACGUGGAUUGGCCCUGUGUCUAUAUCCUGUUUUCAUGAGCGCUUUAGUAACCAGCCAAGUUACAUAGAAAGUGGCACCAUCUCCUACACUCAUAUAGGUAGACUUAUCUAGAAUGUCCCUGUAACUAAAACAUUUAUAAGUCUAUUAAAAGUUAAGUAGCUUAACCUUUCCCAUAUGUUACAGGUAUCAAGCACUAACCUUUGGGAUACAUCUAAAAAUAUUAUAGUAUUUGCUAUCACAACAUAUGAUGUACUUUUGCUCAUUGAACCCAAGAUCUUGAUAUUUCAAGUGUUUGGUUGAGUUUCCAUCAUUGGUAAUAAGAUUAUGCUGGCUUCAGUCCCAUCCCCUUAGAAGUUUUAAAUACAAUAUCCCUUAUAAGGCCUUUAGUUAAGGGGUCCACCAAAUUUUGGCAUGAUUUCACAAAGUCAAUUAUGAUAACUCCAUGGGAAAAUAUCCACCGUCCACCUGUUUUUUUUUAACUUUUUCAAAAAUACACAAUUCUUUUUUUUUUUACUAGAAUCCACCUAAAGUUACAUUUUGUUUCACUUUUCCACUUCCGUUUGGAAUCCGUUAAGAAAACUAACGGAAACUUAAAAAAAUGACCAUUUUACCCCCAAAACGAAAAUUAAAAUUUCAACUUAAAAAAUACCAAAAAUAAUUAGAUUUAAUGAUUAAUAUCAUUAUUUGUACGUUAAUGAAGUACAAAAAAAUAUUAACUACUAGAGAUUAUAACUCAAUAAAUAAUAAAACUCUACUUAUCUUAAAUUUAAUUAAUGGUUUGCGAGAUUUGGCUAUUUUUAAUACUACUGUUAUAAUUUAGCAUUCUAAUUACAGACAUAUUUAAAAAAAAAAACUCGUAUUUGAUGGUUGUGGAAUUAAUUUAUUUAUUGACCGAUGGGGAAAAUAUUUAGAUUUAAUAUGAUUAUUUUUGAUAAUUUUUAGGGUGAAAUUGUUAUUUUCGUUUUGGGCGGUAAAAUGGUCAUUUUUUUAAGUUUCCGUUAGUGUUCUUAACGGAUUCCAAACGGAAGUGGAAAAGUGAAACAAAAUGUAACUUUAGGUGGAUUCCAGUAAAAAAAAAAAAGAAUUGUGUAUUUUUGAAAAAGUUGUAAAAAAUGGGUGGACGAUGGAUAUUUUCCCUAACUCCAUUUGUAAGUAAUUGUCUCACAUAACUAUGUCUUAGACCUAUGUGCCUAGACUUUUCAUUAUAUAUUUUACUAUAUGGCCUUGACAAAGUUGCCUCACUAUCACAAUGAAUGGACACAGGAGGCAUUGGUUUAGGCCAAAUAGGAAUUUCUAUAAGCAAAUUCCUUAACCAUUCAGCUUCCUUGCAACAUGAAGCCAAAGCUACAAAUUCUGCAGCCAUGGUGGAGUCUGCUAUACAAGUUUGCUUCUUUGAGCCCCAUGAAAUAGAUCCUCCAACAAGAUUAAAAAUCCAACCACUUGUGGAUGUAUGAUCAUCUCGAUCAGUAAUCCAACUAGCAUCCGAAAAUCCUUCCAAAACAGAAGGAUAUCCAAUGUAGUAUAUACCAUAAUCCAUUGCAUGUUUUAAAUAUUUUAGAAUUUUGUACACUGCUUGCCAGUGUGCUUGGCUUGGAUUACUAGUAUAUCUACUCAGUUUUCCAACAGUGAAAGCAAUAUCAGGCCUAGUACAAGUCAUCGCAUACAUAAGACACCCAAUAACACGUGCAUAUUCUAAUUGGGAUACUGAUCUGCCAGUGUUAGGAUACAAUCUUAUGUUUGAAUCAAAAGGUGUUGACACAGGCUUACAAUCAUAAUAAUUAAAUUUCUUUAAAAUUUUCUCAAUAUAAUGUGAUUGGGUCAAUACUAGGCCAUUCUUAUUUUUUAUAAUUUUAAUCCCCAAAAUCAUAUCAGCAAGUCCCAUGUCUUUCAUAUCAAAAUUAGAUGACAAUAAUGAUUUAGUGAGUUCAAUGCUCUCACUAUCAGUACUAAAAAUUAACAUGUCAUCUACAUAUAAACAAAUAAUCACACCUUUAUUUCCAUUGAAUCUGCUAUAGACACAUUUAUCAAAUUCAUAAAUAUUAAAUUCAUUUGAGACAAUCACUUUGUCAAACUUUUCGUGCCACUGCUUUGGAGCUUGUUUAAGACCAUAUAAAGAUUUGACUAGUUUACAAACUUUAUGUUCUUGUCCUGGCGUAACAAACCCUUCUAGUUGUUUCAUGUAAAUUUCCUCAUCUAAUUCUCUAUUUAAGAAAGUUGUUUUUACAUCCAUUUGAUGGAUUUCAAAAUGAUAAAUUGAAGCCAAAGCAAUCAAGACUCUAAUAGUAGCAAUUCUUGCAACAAGUGCAUAAGUAUCAAAAUAAUCAAGGCCUUCUUUUUGUGUAAAGUCUUUUGCUACUAGUCUUGCUUUAAAUCCUUCAAUUGUUCCAUCAACUUUCUUCUUCUUUUUGAAAAUCCAUUUACAACCUAUAGGAUUAAAGUCAGGUGGUAAAUCAACUAAUUUCAAAGUCUUAUUACCCAUAAUAGAGUCCAUUUCAUCAUUAAUGGCCUUUUUCCAAAAAGCAGCAUCUUGAGACUUCAUUGCCUCUUCAUAGGUGAGGGGAUCAGACUUUACAGUAGGUGUGAUCAUGGUCUGUUUUGAUUGUAAGUCUCUUGUCCCUUACACUAAAUAGACUAUAAAAUCUGGUCCAAAAGAUUUUAUAGUCCUUAUUCUUUUACUUCUUCUCAAAUGAUUUUGCUCAUUAUUAGCAUCACGCUUUUGACUAAUUUCUAUUUGUUUAAACCAGAUUUUAUAGUCCUUAUUCUUUUACUUCUUCUCAAAUGAUUUUGCUCAUUAUUAGCAUCACGCUUUUGACUAAUUUCUAUUUGUUUAUCAUUCUCUUGAGAAUCAAUACUUUUUGGUAUAGUGGAAAAUCUAUUUUCAUAGAAUAUUGCAUCUCUAUAUUCCAUUAUAGUAUUGAUCUCAACAAAGUUAUUAGGUUCUUUUACAAGAAACCUAUAAGCUUUACUAUGCUUAGCAUAUCCCAAGAAUAUGCAUUCAAUGCCCCUUUCUCCUAAUUUCUUUAUCUUAGGUUCAGGUAGUCUUACAAUGGCUCGGCAACCCCAAACUCUUAGAUAAGAAAGAUUAGGCUUUCUCUUUUUCCAUAAUUCAUAUGGGGUCACCUUUGUCUUGUUAUUAGGCACUCUAUUUAAGAUAUGACAUGCAGUUAAAAUAGCUUCACCCCAAAAACCUUUACCAAGCCCAGCAGUAAAAAGCAUAGCAUUAACCAUUUCUAUUAAUGUCCUAUUUUUCCUUUCAGCUACGCCAUUUUGUUGUGGAGUAUAUGCAGUGCUAGUUUCAUGUACAAUGCCAACAGAUUCACAAAAUUCAAAAAAAGCAUAUUCACCUCCUUUAUCACUUCUAAGGCAUUUAAUUUUAGUGUCACAAAAAUUCUCAACUUCAUUUUAUAAGUUUUAAAUUUCUCUAACACUUGAUCUUUAGAAUGUAAUAAAUAUACAUAGCAAUAUUUUAAAAAAUCAUCAAUAAAUGUUACAAAAUAUUUUUUACCACCUUUAGUAGGAUUACUAUGCAUAUCACACACAUCACUAUGAAUUAAAUGCAAUAAAGAAGAUGUUUUUUCAAUUUUUGGAAAAAGGAGAUCUUGUGAUUUUAGUCUGUGCACAUACUUUACAUUUUUCAUGCAUAUCAUUUUCAUGCUUAGGAAAUAACUCCAAAUUAGCCAUAUCAUGCAAUCUUCUAACAUUCACAUGUCCUAGACGAUUAUGCCACAAAGAUAAUGAAUCAACCAUAUAAGCAAAAGAAACAUUCAUAUUAUUGAUAUUGAGUUUAAAUAUUCCUUCAUACAUGUAUCCUUUCCCAACAAAGGUACCACCCUUAGACAAUAUAAAUUUGUUUGACUCAAAAACAAGUUUAAAGCCAAACUUAUCAAGAAGCCCACCAGAUACAAGGUUUUUCCUAACUUCAGGAACAUGAUAAACAUCAGUAAGAGUUAAAGUUUUUCCAGAAGUAAACUGUAGUUGCACAUUGCCUUUUCCUUUAACUAUUGCAAUGGAGGAAUUUCCCAUGUAAAGAACACUUCCAUCAUCCAUUGCUUUAUAAGAUUUGAAAAGGCUACGAUCUUUGCAUACAUGCUUAGUUGCACCAGAAUCUAUCCACCAUGCAUUAUCAUCUUCGAAAACAUUAAUCUCAAAUAUCAUGGCCACAAAAUUUGUGUUCGAAACUUCCUUUUGUUUCUUCAGAAGUCAACAAUCUCUUUUGAAGUGGCCAAGUUUUCCGCAGUGGUGGCAAGUACCCUUCUUUUUCCUCUUAUUGUUUUGAUUCUCGUUGGAAUCAAACUUUCUCUUUUGCUUAUUCUUAGGGUGAUUAAAAUGCUUAAACUCCUUCCUCUCCUCCACAACAUUAAUUUUAGAGGACAUAGUAGCCUGGUCCUCAAGACUAUUAAGUUUGAGUUCCUUUUCAAUACGAAGACUUUGGCCUAAGCCAUCCAGACUAAUUUCCUCUUUGCUAUGUUUAAGACUUUUCUUAUAGUCUUUCCAAGAGGGAGGAAGUUUAUCAAUAAUUGAAGAGACAAUAAUAGACUCAUCCAUUUUCAUGUCAUGUUGGUUGAAUUGAUCAAGAAUAUGCAAAAUCUCAUUAUAUUGUUCAACCACAAGUCUAUUAUCAACCAUUCUAUAAUUAAAAAAUUUAGAAACCAAGAAUUUCUUACUUGUGGCAUCUUCCAUCAUGUACUUAGUCUCUAAUGAGUCCCAUAUUUCUUUUGCUGUAGUUUUGUUGUGAUAUUGAUCAAACAAAGUAUCAGACAUUGCAUUGCAAAUGUGUCCCUUGCACACAUAGUCAUCUUGCUCCCACUUCUACCGCACUCUGGUUUAUGCUAAUGUCUCACCCUCACGUUCUUGAGGCUUUGGUGUUGUGAGAACAUAGACCACAUUGAGGCUUGUCAACAAGAAAUGCAACUUUUUCUGCCAACGAAUAAAGUUGCCACCAUCGAAUCGCUCCAAUUUAACAAAAUCUAUUGCGAAUUGUCGAAAAGAUGAACUUGGUGCCAUUGUUGCAUAAAUAACGUCUUAAGAUUGUUGGUGGUUGAAAUUGUGGGGAAUGGCAAAUGUAGAGAAAUGCAACAAUAAUGGUGGAACUUUAUUACGUAAAGUAAUGUGUUUACAACUAACUCUGUAUGUAGGAAGAAAAAUAAUAUUAAUAAGUAAACUGCAGAAAAUUUGUGUGUUUCAAGGCACGUUACAAAUGUCGCUUUCCUUAAGACGUUAUUUGCCCCCACCAAUUGAGUGAUGCACAUGGGUUAAGCAAAUACGCCUCUAGGAUACAAUGAAGCACUUGUUUGUUUGCUUGUGUUAUGCAUCGACGAAAGCAAACCAGAAUACUCUUGAAUGUUGCAAGUCUGCCAAGAAACAAUAUAUUUUUCCUGCAGAAAACAAUAUAUUGGAUUUUUAAUGCACAAAAGAAAUGGGUGUUUUGUGUUGAAAUUCGUACUAGAAAGGAAUGCCAAGAAAAGAGUGGUGUAUGAUCAUUAAUUUCAUGUCUAAAUGGCUUAAACAUGACCCCUAUUUAUAGAUAUACUUGUGCCCCUUCAUUCGGGUUGUCAUCUUUCAUGAUAUCCUUUCAUUCAUGGCCAUUGGAUCUAGAUUUAAUUUUAAUCAAUGGUCCAAAUUGAACCAUCACCAUUUCAAAUGAAAUGUCACCAUGAAAUGAUACAUCUCUAAGUGAAAUGUUACCAUGAAAAGUUAUAUUAUUUAGUAAAAAGAUACAUUUUCUAUAAGACACAAUUAAAUUGACAUGUCCUUACAAUAAGACAUCAUUUAAUUAGACAUGUCUUUAGUGAAGAUACCUUUUCUAUAAGGCACAAUUAAUAGGACAUAUCUUUACCAUAAGACACCAUUUAUUUUGAAAAUUUUCCAACAGAGCAUCGAAUAUCUUGCAUGAGCAGGUAUGCUUGUAUUCUGGAAUGGAUUUAAAAAAAUUGUAAUUCAAUCAUCAGAGGUUCCUGAGAUUAUUGAUGAGUGUAUUGCAACUAUAAAUUGUUUUCCUUUUCUUACAUAACCGAGCAUUCCUUUGAUCAUCCAUCCGAAGUCUCUUCUUUAAGAUUGAUUUCGCUGCAUUAAAAUAGUCAGAUUCAACAGUUAGUGGUGGUUGCAGUCCAGAAUCAACUGCCAUUUUGACGCCAUCAAGAAUUGCCACUACUACAAAAAUGAACAUAGAUGACGUUUAAAUUAAUCUUAUGAUGACAAAGUAAAAUUAGUCAUAUUUGCAACAGUCAUCUAAAAUGAGGUACAAAAGAUGACGCGUAAAGAGAGUCAUCUAAUAAGUAUCAUAGAUGACUCAUUUCUAAAAAAGCAGUCAUCUAACGUUGUUCUAAUUUUUAUUAUUAUUAUGCACAUAGGUGACUUACUUUUCAAAAAAUCAGUCAUCUAUUAUUAUUAUUAUUAUUAUUAUUAUUAUUAUCAUCAUCAUCAUCAUCAUCAUCAUAAUCAUCAUCAUCAUCAUCAUCAUCAUCAUCAUCAUCAUCAUCAUCAUCAUUAUUAUUAUUAUUAUUAUAUUAUAUUAUCAUCAUCAUCAUUAUUAUUAUUAUUAUUAUUAUUAUUAUUAUUAUUAUUAUUAUUAUUAUUAUUAUUAUUAUUGCAAUGAAUGUUUUUGAAAAGCUGCAACAUAAAAAUAAAUAUUCAAGCAAUUGCAAUAGUCGUAUAUAAAUUUGGUACAUGACAAACAAUACCAAAAAUAUUCUUUAUGUUUACAAUUUCCAAAUGAAAGUAACUAGAUAUCCAUAACUCUUUUUUCUUAAAAUAGAACCGUAUUACAUUCUUCACAAGAACAACAAAAUGCAGCUACCCCUCCAGUUGGCUACUCCAAUAAUCAUGCUACUCCAAUAAUCAUGCCAAAGCCAAAGGGAGUUGAAGAGUGAAACCCUUAGAUGAACCUUCCUUAAUUACAAAAUGAAAAUAAUUGAAAUAAUUUUAUAAACUUUUUAAUAUCUUAUUCGAAACAAAGAUAAUAACAAAGAUGUAGAUAAAAAUAAUAAUCCUAUUCAUUUACUAACCUCGCAAAGUCAUUGUGCUACAAAAUUUAGCGAAAAAUGUUCUGCCAUAUGUACUCUGCCCACUCCACUCUUACUUUAUCAAUAUCCUUUUGGGUGAAAUUAUCUCGUCCAACAAGCUAUAUAUCGUCCAACAAACUAUUAUUUUGAUUCUAAUAAUAUGAUUAUAAUUAUAGGUAGAUUUUACAAUAUUCUAUAUAAUGCUAAAGGAAAGAGGAUGAAAUGAUUAAUUAAUAUUGUAAUAUCACAUAAUAUUAUAUAAAGGCUUAUUCUAUUAAUUCUCCAUUAGUUUUUAUUUUUUAUUAGUUUUUUUAAUAAGAAAGUAUGUGUGUAUAUAAAUUAAUUUUAAGUUAUUUGAAGAAUUUGAAAUAUUUAUAAUUUUGCAACAAAUCCCACAUGGCGCUUGUCGUUUUUGGUUUCCCAGUUUCGUAAAAGAUAAGAUGAAAGAAAAGAGAAGGGGAAAAGAAAAGAAAGAUAAUCCAAUUAAAAGAAAGAGGAGAGGUCAAGUUGACGAUUAUGAAGGACAAGAAUAGACGUCGUGAGGUUCUGAGAUUGAUAACUGAUUAAAUUUCAAAGGAGCAUGACAUGAUUCGACCAAAUUUGUAACUUCCCUAAAAUAUUAAUCCCCAGAAAUAAUUUUACUGUUCAUCUAUAUUGUCAACAUUUGGUAUUCAAAUAGAGUAAAUUAGACAAAGAAAAGAAAAAAAAAACAGCACAUGUAGGCCACCCACAAUCAAACAAUCUAUCAUUUUCUUUCUCAAACAUGAUUAAACAAAAGGAAAGAAAGUACCUUUAUGUGGGGACCGAAACUUUUAAAAUCCAAUAUCCAAGGUAGCCGAAUGCUUCAACAAUUUCCUUGAUAGUGAUGUGGUCCCAAGCUUUAUAAUCUUCUUGCCAACAUGUGUGGUCCAGAGCUUCCAGAUUUCUUCUCAAUUUGUCUUCACUUUGACUAUGUGUGAACAGUUAGGGUUUACGAUUUUGGGUCUAUAUAAAUAAUGGGUGAAAUGAAGAGUUUGGAACUUGGAAAUAGAAGAUAGGAAGAUGUUUUGUAUGGGCGAAGGGGAAUUUUACAGAGAAAGAAAGUCGUAGAAGAAUGGAGGCUGAAACAAAGAGACAAUGAUAUUUCGCGGUAGACAAAGAAAAUAAAGAGGGAAAGUGGCGUUUUUAUACUACAAACUAAAUGACACAUUUUAAAGAGAAGAGUCACCUUUUAAUUAAUUAAAGAUGACUUUUUAUUUAGCGGUGAGUCAUUUUUAUGUCACAAGUAAAAGCAAGUUUAUAAUAUAUGACUUCCAAAAGUAAAUAAAAGUCAUCUAAACUAAUAGAUGACAAUUAAUAGUAUGUUUGUCAUGUAUUACAUGUCAUCUUUGUCCUGUUUUGUAGUAGUGUGCCAAAGCAUUCAGCAUAUUUUCUAAGCAAGUUUUCCUAGAGAUGGAAGCAGCCGUGACACCCCAUUUGAAUUUCUUAUAAUACAAGUCGAAUCUGCUUUUAUUCUAAAUUUAAAGAUGCAUCGACUUUUGGUGAUUCUGCCCAAGAUAAAGUGUAUGCAGAAAAUUGUUGCUGAGUGUCAGCCUUGCUAAGUCUGUAAUCUUUCAUCUUAGCAAAGCUAUAAAAGGGCUUUUUUUUUUUCUUUUUUUUUUUUUCUUUGAGGCUCCAGGCAGAGGGAUUGCAGCAUCAAUUUCCAAUUUUUUCGAGCAUAUUUAUAGCCACAAGCACAUGAUAAGCACCCUCCCGAGAAUUCCAGCAUGUGAAACAGUGCUGUCUACGAUUUUAUCUUUUCUGGGUUCCUUUUGGGUGACAAGAAAUCCCUUGACCUUGACGCUUGCUAUAGAAAAAUCUUGAUUUUCGAACUUAUAGAGAGACUCCAGAUAGGAUUCCACCAGCUAGAUGAAUUCUAAAAGCAUGAAGGCUAUCGAGGUGCGUUAAGCUGAGGGCCACUUGGUAGCCAAGUAGGUACCUCCUGUGUCACACAAUGGUAAAGAAUUGCAUCAACGGCUGGAAGAAUAUUAGCACAAAUGAAUUCUUCAUUCUACUCACUCUACGAAAUCAAUAUCAGAUUGAACUGUUUGAGGGGUAAACAGAAAAGCCCUAGAAGUGAGGUCUGGCAAUCUAGCUUGGCCCAAACUGAAAGAGUUGGAGAUAGCUUGUCAAUAACUUUAUUGAAAAGGUCUAAGGGAGAAUUAUAACAUUUACAGCUGCAACCUCUUGAUAAAACCCAAUGAUUAAAAAAAAAAAAAAAAAAAACUUAUAAUUCACAGCUUUGAAGAAUUUGUUACAGGUUUCCGAUAAUUUGAAGAUUUACAUUAUAAAACGAACACUAUAGAUUCUCUUGUUACAAAAACGUCAACUAAUCCGAAACAAGAAGGCGAAUUAAAGUAAUACAGUUCCUACUAAGAAUGAUUCUCCAACUGCCAAAGAUAGUAUGAUGUUACAAUUCCGUUCCAUGACCAAACUGUACGAUAGUUUUUGUCGCAAGUGUAAGCACAUCUACAAAAGCAGAAAAUGAUGCACGAAGAAUCCUGGCCUCAACUGCCUCAAAGUGCCUGAAUCAGAUGAGAAAAUAAACAAAAUGUAGAAACUUGUAAACUGCAAAGUCCAAGCAAAGUUGAGAUACUAAAGAACAAUGGUAUCUUAGAGGAAGAACUCUUCUGAAGUAACAUAUUUGAAAAUUUUUCAGGAAAAGGGGAAAAAUGAUUGUUGAACGAGCCACACAAAAGUUCCAAAUGAAUAUUGUCUCAUAGGAUAAACUGAUAGAUGCAAAUUGAAUAAAUAUUGGACAAGAAUGAAAAAUCAGUUAUAAGAAUGACCAAAGAAUAGAAAUUUACACUAAAAGUUUCCCAUUAAUCACAGAUAUCUGCCUUUUCACUUUGUCUGGUUGCAACUGCACUUGGAAAUUGAAUUCAAGUAAGAAUUUAUUGAACAAGCAAUAAAGUUAAAGGAGCAAAGUAUGAUCUUAGGAAUAGGAUCGUGGUGGAUCACCUCCUUAUCAAUAGCUAAUGCUGCAUGCACAAUUGAUGCAUUCUCAUUGGACUCGUAAUCCACUUCAAAGUCACUGCAUGGGAAAAACCAUUUUCUAAGAAACAACAAAACAUUUCAGGUACAGUUCCUCUAAAAACUUUCUGAAAGGUGGACAAAGAGCACUACACUGUCAUGGGAAAAAAAUAGAUAACUCGUAAACAACAGAGGAAUUACAGAUUGUGAAGAUAGCUCAUUAUGCAGAAGUGAAGAAGAAGAAUCAGUCUGUUUUCAAGUCUCGUAUCAAGAAUGUCAAGUUGCCAGCUGUCAUUAGUGCCACGUCAGAGAAUCCAAAUCAGCAGCAGCUAACAGCCUAACUAACUCUAUUAUACAGCCUCUGUAUAUGUGUUGAGUGUGAGCUGAGUGAAAGUUAGUUUUACUAAUAGUUAGUUAGUUAUCAAUUAGUUAGCGUGUGUAAUGCAUAUAUAAAUAGCUACAUAUUCUGGAUUUUUCAGUAUGUGCAAAAUAUCAGUUCAUCAAAUGAAAUAAGAAAUUUUCCUUUCAUUUUCCUAGCUGCCAAACAGCAAUUCUUUGUUCAAUUUAUAUUUUCUACACAGAUGCUCUGUCCUGUUCCUCAACAAACAGAACUGAGAACAGUUCACCCCCUCAACUUCCAAUAGUAUAUUAUCCUCAAUGCCAGCUUAUUCAAAAACCUUUCAGAAUUAUCCAAUAUUCUGAUAAUAGUACCACUGACUUUAUUUUUUUAUGGUUCACACAACUUAUAACUAAAUUACAAAUUAGUUCACGUGUCCGGUAAACUACCCGAUCCACAAUUUAACAAUAUGUGCCACGGCCCAUUGAUUAAAGUAAACACAAUAACAGAAAAAUAGAAAAGCUGUUACAAUCUUUCUAUUUUAAUAUUGGUUUUAAUUAUUUACUUUAUAUUUUAAGUGUAGCUGUUUUUUAAUAAGUCAAAAUUAAGUUGUUAGUUGGUCCCUUAUUUUGUGGAUUCAUAAAGAAUGAUGGAGAACAUGCUUAAUGCUUGCUAUUUUUAUGCUUGUAACUUUGAACUAAAGUUCUAUUUAAAGCUUGAUGUUAUUCAAUAAAGGGAAAUUAUCAGUCAUAUACCCUUAAAUGACACAUGUAUCAAACGUGUGUGAACACUUUUAAGGUAUAUCACUCGUAUACCCUAAGUUGACAAAAUACCUCUGUCGUCCACCAAUCCGUUAACUGCCGUUUGUAAGCGCUGACAUCAUAAGGGUAAUCUAGUCUUUUAAGAUGGACGAAACUUUGAUUAAAAAAAGACAUGUCAUCCCAUUUACCUAGUAAAAAAUGACAUGUCAUAUGAUAUAUAUUGAUAAAAAUGACAUGUCAUUCCCUUUAUUGGAUAAUUGUUAAUAAUUGCUAAAAAAAAUAUUACUUUACAACCGAAUCUACUCCUCCAAAAUUUAAUCUAAAUUUUUGAAGAUCUACUCCUCCAAGCUCCAACUGGAAUUUUUUAUGGUAUAAUAUGUAUAAUUGUAAAUUAUAUGUUGUUAAUAAUUUUUAUGGUAUAAUAUAGAUAUUUUGACGGAUAAUUGUUAAUAAUAUGUACCAUUAAUAAUUCAUUUUUUUAAUCAAAAAAAUGUAUUGUUAAUAACAAAAUAAAAAAAAAAUGUGUAUUAAAAAUUUAUGUUAAUUUUUUGGGGUAAAUUUUUUUUUUUACCUCAUUUUGAGUUUCAAGGGCGAAAUAGUCAAUUUACCACAAUUCUAUUAAUUUUCUAACAGAAGUUAAUGGAUUAGUGGACGGCAGAAGUGUUUUAUCAACUUAGGAUAUACGAGUGAUACACUUGAAAAGUGUUCACACACGUUUGAUACAGAUGUCAUUUAAGAGUAUAUGACUGGUAAUUUCCCUUCAAUAAAAGAGUGUCUUGAGUACUAUUAUUUUCGCAACUUGUAAAUUGUAUUUUGGGAGUUUAUUGGUUUCUCAAAUAAUCAAUACUAUUUUGAAGUACUAGAUUUCCUCGAACACCCAUGCAAUUGUGUCGUAACUGAAAUGAAAACAAUUUAUAGAAUCAAAACCUACGAAGCAGAUGACUUCAAUUGAUUUGAUAUAUUGCAACUCAAUAACCACCUCAUAUUCAUUCUAGGCAAUCAGAUUAGAAAAGAAAACAUCUUUCUAGCAUUAAUACCAACACAAACAACACAAUACAAAGAAAACUACGUUUGAUACAAGUGUCAUUUAAGGGUAUAUGGCUGAUAAUUUCCCUUCAAUAAAAAAGUGUCUUGAGUACUAUUAUUUUCGCAACUUGUAAAUUGUAUUUUGGGAGUUUAUUGGUUUCUCAAAUAAUCAAUACUAUUUUGAAGUACUAGAUUUCCUCGAACACCCAUGCAAUUGUGUCGUAACUGAAAUGAAAACAAUUAAUAGAAUCAAAACCUACGAAGCAGAUGACUUCAAUUGAUUUGAUAUAUUGCAACUCAAUAACCACCUCAUAUUCAUUCUAGGCAAUCAGAUUAGAAAAGAAAACAUCUUUCUAGCAUUAAUACCAACACAAACAACACAAUACAAAGCAUAGCAGAAGCUAAAAACGCAAACAUAUAGCAGUAGAAACAUUUUGGUAUAUUUUUCUUUCCUCUUUUAGGAAAUAAAGCUUUUGAAGGCAAUUAACUGAAAGCCAUCUUCAAAAACAAACCUUCAAUAUUUAUACAAACAGCGUAAGAACAAAAUGGAACAAACCCACAUUGAAUAACCAACCAAAGCAUAAAAUUUAUUGACAGUGGAAGAUAACAAUAUUGAAUAAAUAAGGCAAAAUUAACAUUUCCCAAGAUGAGAAAAGUCCCAGUAAAGGGAGACUUAGUAGAACCUCUAGCAUAAUAAAUAUAUAUCACAAUGUUAAUAAAGAAACAGAAAUAGCUAAGAGAGAGAAUUAAAAACCAGCUAAAUUCCCAUUGCGAUGCGUCGGAAGCUAGAGCAGCUGCCAUCACUUCUAUUCUUCGCUGGGAAAAAAUUUUAAAACUGCUAGGAGGGUCUUAAGUAGGGAAACGGGCCGGGUUUUUAAUUUUGAAUUUAACCAGAAUUGGCCUUUUUUUUUUUUUUUUUUUUGGGUACAACUUUUUGGGAUGAUGUAUGGAUAUUUUAAAGUAACUUUUUCUCAAUUUUUUUUUAUAUUUAAAGCUGGUCAAAAUCCAAAAUUUAUAAGUAAAACUUUUAAGCAAAACUUUUGAGUAAAAUGAUACUAAUUAGAGUGGUAGAUUUGACCCUCUUAUUAUAUUUUACCAAGGAUAAAACUGUGGUGCAACUGUGGUAUCGUGCCACAGUUGCACCCAACCGUUGGAUUCCCACUUAUUCAAGUGGACCCCACGCAUUUGAGUGAAUCCAACGGCUGGUGGAACUGUGGCACGGUAUCACCCGUUGCACUGUAGCCUGACCCUUUUACCAAUCCCUUUUCAGUUAACGUUAUUAAAAAUUUUAAACUAAUUUUUGUCUAUUACCCCAUUGAAUCGCAAAUUUAUCUUUAUUAUGAUUUUUUUAUCUUUUUUUCCAAGCACCCACCGAAUGAAAUUUAUAAAUCUACUUCAAAAAGAAAAAAAAAUCUCAAAAUCACUAUAAUCUCUUUCUCUUUCUCUCUCUCUCUCUUUAAAGAUUUAUCCAUCAUUACCAUAACCAUAAAAAAAAAUAUUUCUUCAUCAUCUUCUAUUGAGUGCUAUAAAUUAAUUUCUUCCAAAAGUAAAGUAUACAAUAUUUAAGAAGAAAUAAUAAUUUAAAAAGUUUAAAGAAAUUAAGGUUUAAGAAAAUAGAUUAGUUAAAUUAUAUAUUAAUGAAAUUAUCAUGUGGGUGCACUUAAAAGUCAUUUACCCUUUUAAAUUAUUUCAUACAAAGAUAAAAUAAUAUUAUAUAAAAGUAAUUAGUGGGGGCUGGUGAGAUACAACGAAGGGUCAAAUAUCACAACUCUAUUAAUUAUUUUCUUAUCAAUAAGUUUGGCAAUCGAUCUAGUUGAGCUCAAGCUUGGCCAACCCCUAGCCUUGCCCCUAUGAUUAAAAAUAAAGGGUCUUAGUUUUCAAAAGUUUGAUCCUCAAAACUGAGGGUUGGGCCAGGGUCAACCUUUUUCAGGUCAGGUUCAGCCUUGGGCUUUAUCCGCACCUUGCAAUAACCUUUUUAAUUUUUAGAUACUUUUUUAGAGUAAGACUCCAACUCUUCAUUCUUUAUUAAUUAUAUUGUACUAUUAUUGUUCCAUUUUAUGAUAAAUUUGGUUGUAAGGAAUUUAAUAAAUUAACUUUUUAUUUAGCUUUAACGAAAAUACAACAUGUAAAAAUCUAACCAAAUUAACAAGUAAAUAAAUCGAAUACAAAAUACUAUUAAUUUGAGGAGUGAGUUCUGACCACAUUUGUAGUGUAUGUGCUUUAAUUUUUAAGUAUUAUAUUUUUUAAUUUGAAAAUUAAUUGAAGGGUCAAAGGUUGAGUUAGGAAUUUUUAGUAAAGUCCUAACCUAGACUUGAAUGUAAUCGGGCCGAAACCUAAUCCUUGACCCUUUAAAUUCAAUUAAAGAUCCUAAAAAUUAGAGGUUAGGUUAAUCAGACAAGGCGGGGUCUGGUCUUUUUGCCAUCCUUACUUAUCAAUUAUGGAAAGAGUAAUGUUAUACUUACUCACUUCAUAUAUUCAAUUGAGAUAUUGAAUAAUAUGAUCUUUUAUGUGUCAUAACAAAUUGCAAAAAUAAUAAGUUGAUAAUUAAUAAUAAAACCAAUUAAUAUCAUACAACAUUAAAUAACUCAUAUUUUUCAAACACAUUGACGUAUGGAAUGGAGUUUUGAGGGAGAGUUGAGACAUGAAUUGAAAGACUUGUACGUCAAGACUAGUGACUAGAGAGGUGUAACUUGUUUGUUUGGUUUUGCAUUGUAUAGUAGGUGAGUGUCGUUGUCGUGAGUCAUGAUGACCAAAUGCCUAGGCUUGGCUUUUCGCCUUAUGCCAAGCGUGGAAGCAACAUGAGCAUGCUCCUAGGCAAACACGAAAGUAAGGCAAGGCUAAUGUGUAGAUUGGGGCACGGUAACAAGCGUAAGCUAAAGGAAAAACACAGAGAGAGUGAGAAAGCGUGCGUAAGGGCAUGCAGUGGCAAUGCACACAAUAUCUCAUAAGCGCAUGGAAAUGCAGGUGUGCGAGCACUGGAAGCAUGGGGAAUGCGGGCAGGGGAUGCAUGGGUGUGCGGGACGUAUAGGACACGCACAGGCCAUGUGGGUAGAAUGCAGGAUGGCGCGAGGCAGUAGCGCAAAUGCAUGCGGGGGUUGCGCACAAACAUGCAGCACAGUGGGACAUAUACGGGGGCCAAACUAUGCGAAGAUAAGAGGCGUUCGCGCACUCACUGUGUGGGGACAGUGGUGGUUGAAUGCAGAGCAUGUUAGCUACAAAUUCUUCGAAAGUAGGACCUAAAAUCAAACAUGAAGUGGGUAAUUGUGGGUGCAACUAGUGGAGAACAUGGCCUUGGAUCACAUGCAUAGAAAAUAGGGGUAAAAGAAGUAGGCAGUGGUGGUUACUUAUCAAGAGAGGUGGGCACUGCUGGUUACACUCUAUAAUAUCCUUACAACUAGGCUAAGCGAGUAGUGGUUGCUUUAUUCGAGAGGGAGUAGAGAUGUGCUUCCUCACAACAUGUUUAAUGAUGCCUAAACUUUAGGAGAAGAAUUGAGGUAGUGCGAGGUUGUGCUCCACCUUGCCUUAGCAAACGGGGGGCGUCAUUUGCAAACUAGUAUAUAUAGUGAUGGGAAUGUAUGUCUUGGCGAUCCCAGGUCUUGGUAGAGAGAGUAGUGUUGUUGAGCAUACAAAACCCUUGAGCUAUUUGUAAUCUUUUCUUAUUUGCAGAAAUAGAAAUUUAGGGGUUGGGACCUUCGUAAAAAGCAAAUAGUAUGCAUUUUUGUGAACUUUAAUACUCGCUAUUUUAGUUUCCUUUUGUUGGUGGAAUCAAUCUUUCAUGUAAGACCUCCAUUAUGAGUCUUUGCAUGCUUGUUGCUUUAUUUGCUUUCGUUAGCAUNNNNNUUAAUUAAUUAANNNNNUUAUCAAUUUAUCCGGUAAACUGCUGGGCGCUCAUGUAGCCCAUGCUGGAUUAAUCGUAUUCUGGGCCGGAGCAAUGAACCUAUUUGAAGUGGCUCAUUUCGUACCAGAAAAGCCCAUGUAUGAACAAGGAUUAAUUUUACUUCCCCACCUAGCUACUCUAGGCUGGGGGGUAGGUCCUUGGUGGGGAAGUUAUAGACACCUUUCCAUACUUUGUAUCUGGAGUACUUCACUUAAUUUCCUCUGCAGUAUUGGGCUUUGGCGGUAUUUAUCAUGCACUUCUGGGACCUGAACUCUUGAAGAAUCUUUUCCAUUCUUCGGUUAUGUAUGAAAGAUAGAAAUAAAAUGACCACAAUUUUGGGUAUUCACCUAAUCUUGUUAGGUAUAGGUGCUUUUCUUCUAGUAUUCAAGGCUCUUUAUUUUGGGGCGUGUAUGAUACUGGGCUCCGGGGGGGGAGAUGUAAGAAAAAUUACCAACUUGACCCUUAGCCCAAGUGUUAUUUUUGGUUAUUUACUAAAAUCCUUCUUUGGAGGAGAGGGGUGGAUUGUUAGUGUGGAUGAUUUGGAAGAUAUAAUUGGAGGUCAUGUAUGGUUAGGUUCCAUUUGUAUAUUUGGUGGAAUCUGGCAUAUCUUACCAAGCCUUUUGCAUGGGCUCGCCGUGCACUUGUAUGGUCUGGGGAGGCUUACUUGUCUUAUAGUUUAGGUGCUUUAGCUGUUUUUGGUUUCAUUGCUUGUUGCUUUGUCUGGUUCAAUAAUACCGCUUAUCCUAGUGAGUUUUAUGGGCCCACUGGGCCAGAAGCUUCUCAAGCUCAAGCAUUUACUUUUCUGGUUAGAGACCAACGUCUUGGGGCUAAUGUGGGAUCCGCUCAAGGGCCUACUGGUUUAGGUAAAUAUCUAAUGCGUUCCCCUACUGGAGAAGUCAUUUUUGGGGAGAAACUAUGCGUUUUUGGGAUCUGCGUGCUCCAUGGUUAGAACCUCUAAGGGGUCCCAACGGUUUAGACUUGAGUAGGUUGAAAAAGGACAUACAACCUUGGCAAGAACGACGUUCUGCGGAAUAUAUGACUCAUGCUCCUUUAGGUUCUUUAAAUUCUGUGGGUGGAGUAGCUACCGAGAUCAAUGCAGUUAAUUAUGUCUCUCCGAGAACUUGGUUAUCUACUUCUCAUUUUGUUCUAGGCUUCUUCUUCUUCGUAGGUCACUUAUGGCACGCGGGAAGAGCUCGUGCAGCUGCAGCAGGGUUUGAAAAAGGAAUUGAUCGUGAUUUUGAACCUGUUCUUUCGAUGACUCCUCUUAACUGAGACAGGGGAUCCAAGGCGUAUGCUUAAAAUAAAAUAGAAAUUGGUUUGAUUGCACCCUGCAUAUUGAGGGAAGCGAGUUAUACUUAAAAAAAAGUAUUCCUUUUUCCUUUCUUUUCAACUCAGUUAUAUCUAAUCUAUUUUAUAUAUAUUUUUUUUUUCUGGCUCGGCUAUCCUCCCUAGCCGAGCCAUUCCCUUUUAUGAGACGAAAAAGCCAGGCAAACCCAAUAAAGAAAAAAAGCGAUUCACCGAGCACAAGGAGAGAGAGGGAUUCGAACCCUCGAUAGUUCUUUGUUUCGAACUAUACCGGUUUUCAAGACCGGAGCUAUCAACCACUCGGCCACCUCUCCGAAAGACAAUUUCUAUUUUACUUUUACUGAAUAGAACAUGGCUAUAUGAGUUAGUUGAUACCAUUACUAUGUAUAGAAAGAUAUUAGGCGUGACUCUUAUAGGUUAUAGGUCAAUCUAUCUGUAUAUACAUAGAAAAUAGAUCGAUGUAUGAUCCAGCACUCCCAUUUUUGAAGUAAAAAAAAGUACUCUCGACCCAUGUCCGAAUCAAAGUGGUAAAGGGUUGGAAAUACGUCAUAUAGAAUCAAUGGAUUCAUGGUAAAAUCCCCUAGGAUGCAUUCUAUUCCAAUUUUUUGGCUGAUAGAGGGAUCAAAUGGUAUAGUUCUUUUUUGUUGGUAGCUUGGAGGAUUAGAAACAUGACUAUUGCUUUCCAAUUGGCUGUUUUUGCAUUAAUUGCUACUUCAUCAAUCUUACUGAUUAGUGUACCCGUUGUAUUUGCUUCUCCGGAUGGUUGGUCGAGUAACAAAAAUGUCGUAUUUUCUGGUACAUCAUUGUGGAUUGGAUUAGUCUUUCUGGUGGGUAUCCUUAACUCUCUCAUUUCUUAAAUCUAUUCGUUCCCAAUCCAACAAUGAAAUGCCCCUCCCACGAAUUUUUCGGGUUGUGAGACACAUUAAAAUUCACUAUAAGUCUCCAAAAUGCAAAUAAAAAAAAAAACACAAAAAUUCGUGGGAGGGGUCAAACUUCUGGAACUCGAAUGAAAAAUAAACAAUAAAAUUAUAUUAUUUAAAAUUCGAUUAUUAGAUAGAACGAAAAAUUAUAUUAUUAUAAAAAAAAAUAAGAUUAAAAAAUAAUAAUAAUCGAAAUUAGAUAAUUAGAAUCUAUUUAAUAGAAUUCUGAUAAAGAUAAUAUAAUUAUCUAAUAAUUAAUAGAAAUAUAUAUUAUUAAUAGAAAAAUAUCUAUAUAUUAGAAAUAAAUAGUAAUAUAAUAAUUAAUAGAAAUAAAAUAUUGAAAACUAUUCAAUAAUGAAUAUUAAUUAAUAUUAAUUAAUAUUGAAAAUUGCAAUAUGUACUUGGCUUUCAUUUAAAUUGGUUUGGUAGUGGAAUUUGAUGGAAUUACCCUGAAGAGAGUAUCUGGCCUAACUCUGGAUAAAGAUUUUCCAGCCAUUUCAAGGAAAAAAUGCGGAUAUAGUCGAAUGGUAAAAUUUCUCUUUGCCAAGGAGAAGACGCGGGUUCGAUUCCCGCUAUCCGCCAAGGUAAAGUAAUGUAGUUAAUAGGAUAAACGACUUCUUAGUUAAUAGGAUAAACGACUUCUUAGUUAAUAGGAUAAACGACUUCUUAUAGUUGACCGUGAUAGUAUAGCGGUUCUAUCUUUCCACCCCAAGAAAAAAAAAAAAAAAAGAGAAAAGUGCUAAUUAAUAGUUAACAGAAUCAAACCUCAUUUUUUUGUCAAAAAAUAAAAAAUGUUGCGGAGACGGGAUUUGAACCCGUGACCUCAAGGUUAUGAGCCUUGCGAGCUACCAAACUGCUCUACCCGCGAUGAAGAGAAGGACUGGGAAGAACUAAGAAACAAACAAGGAUUGAAUGCGCCCCUUUUCCAUACCCGUACAAAUAGAAUAGCCUAUUUGUACAGAAUGGUAAAGGGGCCGCCUCUAUGAUGAUAGAUCAUAGAAAUCCAAUCGAAAAAAGAAAAAUGAAGGAUAUUUUAAUCCUUACCAACUUGAUCUUGUUGCCCCCGGCAACAAACACGCAUGAACCAUUUCACGAAGUAUGUGUCCGGAUAGUCCAAAGUCUCGAUAGUUAGCUCUCGGCCUUCCGGUCAAAAAACAACGUCGAUGAAGACGGGUAGGUGCACUAUUACGCGGUGAGGAUUGUAACUUUCCAUGAAUUUUCCAUUUAUCGCUCAACGAUGGAGCUUUGUUUAUUUCUUUUUUUGAGGAUCGACGAAUCAAAUGAUAUUUUUGUUCCAAUUUGUGCCUUUUCUUUUCCCUCUGAAUCAAACUUUGCCUUGCCAUAGCGGUUCCGUCCCUAUUAUUAUCAAUGAUACAAGUCGGAUCCUAGAUGUAGAAAUAUAGCUGUAGAAAUAUAAGAAGGCAUACCCCUUCUCUACCGAAAGAAAUGAUAUUAUCGCGCGGAUACAAGACAGAAAGAAUUAACCAAAUUUGCCCGAUGUAGAGGCAAUCAAGAAAGCCGCAUAAGUGAAUAUAUAACCUACAGAGAAGUGGGCUAAUCCAACCAAUCGUGCUUGCACAAUGGAAAGGGCCACUGGUUUAUCUCUCCAUCGAAUCAAAUUAGCUAAGGGUGUGCGUUCGUGAGCCCACGCUAAAGUUUCAAUCAAUUCUUGCCAAUACCCGCGCCAGGAAAUUAAAAACAUAAAUCCAGUAGCCCAAACAAGAUGUCCAAAUAAGAACAUCCACGCCCAGACUGAUAAACUAUUCAUACCAAACGGGUUAUACCCAUUGAUAAGUUGGGAAGAGUUUAACCAUAGAUAAUCUCUUAACCAUCCCAUCAAAUAAGUGGAAGAUUCAUUAAACUGUGAAACGUUACCCUGCCAUAACGUGAUGUGUUUCCAAUGCCAAUAAAAAGUAACCCACCCAAUGGUAUUUAACAUCCAGAAAACUGCCAAAUAAAAUGCGUCCCAAGCCGAAAUAUCACAAGUACCGCCUCGUCCCGGACCGUCGCAAGGAAAACUAUAACCGAAAUCCUUUUUAUCUGGCAUUAACUUAGAACCCCGUGCAUCUAAAGCCCCCUUUACCAAGAUCAAUGUAGUUGUAUGUAAACCUAGAGCAAUAGCAUGAUGAACCAAAAAGUCUCCAGGGCCUAUUGUUAAGAAUAGAGAAUUACUAUUCUCAUUAACAGCACUUAACCAGCCAGGCAACCAUAUGCUUCGACCCGCAUUGAAUGCAGGGCCAUCCGUUGAAGAUAAAAGUACAUCGAAUCCAUAUGAAGUUUUACCAUGAGCAGAUUGUAUCCAUUGGGCAAAUA
rnacentral:lncRNA from 1 species